rnacentral:ncRNA from 2 species
UUGUACACACCGCCCGUCGC